rnacentral:rRNA from 1 species
UACGUAGGGGGCAAGCGUUGUCCGGAUUUACUGGGCGUAAAGGGAGCGCAGGCGGCGCGCCAAGUCUGAUGUGAAACCCCGGGGCUCAACCCCGGGCAUGCAUUGGAAACUGGCGGGCUGGAGUGCCGGAGAGGUAAGCGGAAUUCCUAGUGUAGCGGUGAAAUGCGUAGAUAUUAGGAGGAACACCAGUGGCGAAGGCGGCUUACUGGACGGCAACUGACGCUGAGGCUCGAAAGCGUGGGGAGCAAACAGG